UACAGAGACUGCGAGCGUUAUUCGGAUUCACUGGGCGUAAAGGGUGCGCAGGCGGCCACGUGUGUUAGGCGUGAAAGCCCGGGGCUUAACCCCGGAAUUGCACCUAAAACUACAUGGCUAGAGCAUUGGAGAGGGUAGCAGAAUUCACGGUGUAGCAGUGAAAUGCGUAGAUAUCGUGAGGAAUACCAGAGGCGAAGGCGGCUACCUGGACAAUUGCUGACGCUCAGGCACGAAAGCGGGGGGAGCAAAAGGG
rnacentral:rRNA from 1 species